UCUUAUUUGAUACUUGGUAUACUUUGUAGUUUUUGAUGUCGUAGGACAACUGUCACUGUAACUAUUCCCGGCCUAUUGGUGUGUACAAGUUGAAACACUUGUGCUACCUUCAUCUGGUAUUCAAGUGAAGAUGGAUGGCGAAAGUCAGCCCCCCACUUUCAAGAAGGCAACAGUGAAUAGCAUGAUGCAGACGCAUUUCACGGAUAAAAAAACAAAAGCAAAUCAGGUUUCAGUGAAGCUGAUGACAGAGCUUCUGCGAGAAUUCGCUACAGAGGGUGCAGUCCGUUCUGGCAUACAGGCUAAGCGAGAGGGAUUGGAUAUGAUCACAAUUGAACAUUUUGAGAAGAUUCUUCCACAACUGCUGCUGGACUUCUGAUGUCUGUUUCUCCAUUGGAGAUCUACUGAUGGUUUGAUUUGGAAGUAAUUGAUUAAGGUGCAGUAUUAUGGCCCCAACCUAUAUAACAAUGGUUAGCACAGUGUGAAACUCUGAGGAAGAGUCAGGCGCGAGUUCCAACACCUGCGGUGUAGCAGGUAUAACAGUACUGCUGCGGAAAAUUGGGGUGUCAAUAUUACAUGUGCACAAAUGAAUGUGUUGCUGUUGCUAACACACGUGAGUAGAGUAAAUUUUGCACUUCCCAUCAACCUGCAAAGAUACAGGAAAGCAAUAACAUGGUUAUUUUUCACAGGGCUGUAGGCUCGAAUUAAACUAUGUCACAUUUUGACUUUGUAAUAAUUUCUUGCACAGUUCACUCACAUAAAAAAAAAGAAAACUAACCUUUUCUGAAAAUGUGUAGCUAUAUUUUCCUAAUAUGUAUAUAUUUUACAAGACGUCGCUUUAAUAAAUACUAUAUUUGAAAUAAUUA
rnacentral:misc_RNA from 1 species